rnacentral:rRNA from 1 species
UACGUAGGGGGCAAGCGUUGUCCGGAAUCAUUGGGCGUAAAGCGCGUGUAGGCGGUUCGAUAAGUCUGCUGUGAAAGUCCAGGGCUCAACCCUGGGAUGCCGGUGGAUACUGUCGGACUCGAGUACGGAAGAGGCGAGUGGAAUUCCCGGUGUAGCGGUGAAAUGCGCAGAUAUCGGGAGGAACACCAAUUGCGAAGGCAGCUCGCUGGGACGUCACUGACGCUGAGACGCGAAAGCGUGGGGAGCGAACAGG